CUCAGGCACUGUGAGGCUGCAGAAUAAUGUCCAUGUUUCGCUCCAGUUCAUCCCGUCCUCUCGUUGGACAGGGUAGAGAAAUGGCUGCAGAGGAGCCAGUUCAGAGGCCGAUGACCUUCGAGGAGGUGGCUGUGUAUUUCACCA